GCUUUGCAGUCAGUAAAGUGAGUAAACAUUUUUGGCGUUUUCGUAAAAUUUUAAAGUUUCUGUAGUUUCAGCGAUUUCGCUUCUGACCCUGCAGAACUUAUUAAUAUUAAAGCAGUUUUCACUUUUGCGGUAAAUUUAAUAAUACGGUUCGGCACCAUGGGCAAAGUCGCUCUGAACUGCGGACAACUUGCAAACUUGAGCGACUUCGCUUGUUCUCCUGGCUUCUGGGCUGAUGACGUUUAUGCCCGUUCUCGCGUUUCCUUUCCUGAUUUGUCCUCCAAAAACCCCGCUACAACCUAGGGAUAGCUGAAAAGCCAUAGAGGAGAAGCAGUGGCAUGCAGAACGAGCCAUGUCAACGGAAAGCGGAGUCGCAUUCGCCACAUUACUAAAGAUGAUUUCAUUUAUUUGACUUGCCACCAGUCGUUAUUGUAUCCUGAACUUCGCGACGUAUGGCGGACAGCAGGAAUGAGCGAGACCGCAUUGCGCAAGUGUAUUUGAGCAGCUCGCGAACGGAGAGUUUUGGCUGGCCUGAUGACAGCUGCCUUCAACGGCUGGAAGGAUUAACACGUGAAAUCCUACGCCAAGAAAGACAAUAUUUUAGGACAGAUCUCGGGUAAAACGAAAUCGUUUUUGGUAGAACUAAAGAUCGACGCGUUUGAUCUAUUAUUAAUUGUGCGGUCGAUGUUGUUUUUUGUUUUUCUCCAGCGAUGUGAUAAUAGCUGUGUUUUAAUUUACUGGUGUUGGCAAUAUUUUUCUAAGCGUUUGUUACAGCGGUGUAUUUAUUAACAAAACUGGUAAA